UAGCGUAUAUUAAAGUUGUUGCGGCUAAAAAGCUCGUAGUUGGAUUUCUGUUGAGGACAUCUGGUCUGCUCUACGAGCAUGUAUCAAGAUUGGCCUCGGCAUCCGCUCUGCAUACGUGUAUGCGCUUGAUUGCGUGGCGCGGAGGUAGGGCCUUUUACUUUGAGGAAAUUAGAGUGUUCACGGCAGGCAGUCGCCUUGAAUAUAUUAGCAUGGAAUAAUAACAUAGGAUCUUGGUUCUAUUUUGUUGGUUUCUAGGGCUGAGAUAAUGAUUAAUAGGGACAAUUGGGGGCAUUCGUAUUGCGGUGUC
rnacentral:rRNA from 1 species